AUGAAAAUGUGUUUUCGUUGAUUGAGUGCUUUGCCCCACGGCCCCCUAAGGCUUUAAUCAUAUUUGAAAGUAAACACAAUGAAUAGAUAAAAGAUCAAAAAGAAACAAUUUUUAAUCUAAAGAAUGUUGUUAUUGAUGAGUUUUCAUUAACAGGAAUGGUAAUAUGUCAUUCUCGAUAACGCAUAAACUUCCGGAGGCUUCACCCC
rnacentral:lncRNA from 1 species